CCUCUCCCCUCACCCCACCAGUCAUAUAUCAAUCGCCGUUCUCAGUAUCUCUAGUCUCGACAUCAACGCUAUUGUGCCUGCUCAGUCUUUCUCGAAUCCGCAAUCCUACAAAACGAAGGGCGUAACUUCUUAGUAUGAGCAAUUAUGGUGUAGAAUGAUGGAACCGCAUUAUUUCUUCAAACAGGAUUAGACUUAUCAGGUACCAUUACCAUUGAUUCUACUGGACUACGUCUUCGGGUGUGAGUAACCUGAGGAUCUGACGGCCGAGGACCUCGCCCACAAGCGACAGAGGCAAAAAACCUCAUGGGCGAUCCCAGCUUCAUCCUGCACUUACGUAUAUCGUAUUUUAAUUUUUAUCUGCUUAUGAGCUUUGUUUUCAUUGUUAAUAAUCUCCCAAACGGUUUUAGAAAAAUUGUUGGAAGAAAGAAUUUUUUUGAAACAGCAUAUGAUUUCGCGGCUUAGAUCACUUUUCUGUAAAAUAUUUUUGUAGUUUUGGAAAUCAAUUUUGAAAUCUUCAGUUGAAUCGUAUCUAUAAAUUUUGGAAAGGAAUUUUAGUUUAUCUAUUUUUUU